GACCCCGACCCCGGACGACGGCUACCGGGCCCGGACCCCGGGCCUGUCCCCUCCUCUCUGCUAAGCCUCGGAGAGUGGAGGGGCCGCCCCGGGUGGCCUGACACCCAUCCCCCGCGCGCCUCGGGACUCACCCAGCUGGCGAGGGAGAAGACCCCGAGGACGGCCCCCAUGGUGACACCGGGGCCGAGACCCACCGCUCCGAGCGGAUCCCUGCGCGGUGGCAAACUGCCGACUGAGGCGUCGUCUCAGAAACGCGACGGAUCCCUCAAGCCGGAAACAGGGCCCGCCCUUCGCAGGACGCCCAGUUUACGUCAUCGGGUGGCCCCGCCCACGGCCCACGGAGGGGGAUGAAGGCGGAGUCUAAGGCUGCUGGGGUGGCAGAGGCCAUAGAGGGUUUGUGGCAUACAACUCCGGGCUCGCUUGGGGCGCUGGUGAUCUGAGGCGACACAAAGAUGUAGAGAGGCAUAGCGUGUCCCCUCCGAACUUUCGGAAGAAGCUACAUCCGAAUUAAAUAAAGAUCUUACAGACUGUUAAGUUGUGGCUGGGCAGUACUUUGUGUUUAUGGAGAGAUGGAAUGUUGGCAAACUCAGAGGCAAACAGGCUAUGUUGGGCCAUUCAAUAAUCAGCGUCUGUAAUCCCAGCACUAAAGAGGAUGAGGCUGGAGGAGCUGGAGCACAAAGCUAUCCUGUGCUAAUAGAGUUCCAGGCGAACAAAAAAGCCACUCUUCUUACCACAUACACUACCGGAAACUUCUCCAGCCUAUCUCUCUCCCUCUUCCCCCUCCCCCAUCCCUUUGCCCUUCCCCUCCCUCCACAAGGGUCAGUCUGCUGGCCAGGUUCAGUCCACUACCUUCAUUCCCUGUCCUAGACUCUUCCCACUGACUGUACUUGCUCUCAUAUCUAUAAUAAAAACUUUCUCCUCAGCCA
ensembl:antisense